AGGGUUUGAUCAUGGCUCAGAACGAACGCUGGCGGCAGGCCUAACACAUGCAAGUCGAGCGCGCCUUCGGGCGAGCGGCGGACGGGUUAGUAACGCGUGGGAACGUGCCCAGAUCUACGGAAUAGCCACUGGAAACGGUGAGUAAUACCGUAUACGCCCUUAGGGGGAAAGAUUUAUCGGAUUUGGAUCGGCCCGCGUUAGAUUAGGUAGUUGGUGGGGUAACGGCCUACCAAGCCUACGAUCUAUAGCUGGUUUUAGAGGAUGAUCAGCAACACUGGGACUGAGACACGGCCCAGACUCCUACGGGAGGCAGCAGUGGGGAAUCUUGGACAAUGGGGGAAACCCUGAUCCAGCCAUGCCGCGUGAGUGAAGAAGGCCCUAGGGUCGUAAAACUCUUUCGCCUGUGAUGAUAAUGACAGUAGCAGGUAAAGAAACCCCGGCUAACUCCGUGCCAGCAGCCGCGGUAAUAC
rnacentral:rRNA from 1 species